GGGCCGGCGCGCUGGGCGCCCUGGGCGCGGGCGUUCCCGGCUUUGGUCUUCAAAGUCCUUCUUUUCACUAGGAAAGGUAUGGAGAAAAGAUUCCCGGCGCUUGUUCUCCAACCGCUCCCUGAAACAACACGAGCGGGCGUUUUCAGUGAUGAGCUUGGAGUGCCCCCCCGUGGAAGGAGAUGAGCACUGCAAUUGCUUUCUUACAGGUAUUGGCCUCAGCCUAAGGGUAAAUGAAUGAAAUCACCAAGACUAUCAUAGCUGUAUGAAGGUGGUAACUGAAUGUUCUCCAAGAAGGAAUAACAGAAGAAAGUGACUUGAGUCAUUCGA